CCUACGGGGAGCAGCAGUGAGGAAUAUUGGUCAAUGGGCGGAAGCCUGAACCAGCCAAGUAGCGUGCGGGAUGAAGGCCCUACGGGUCGUAAACCGCUGUUGCACGGGGAUAACACCCUCCACUUGUGGAGGUCUGCAGGUACCGUGCGAAUAAGGGCCGGCUAAUUCCGUGCCAGCAGCCGCGGUAAGACGGAAGGCGCGAGCGUUAUCCGGAUUCAUGGGGCUGAAAGGGAGCGUAGGCGGGCGGUCAAGUCAGCGGUAAAAUCGCGCGGCUCAACCGCGCCCCGCAGUUGAAACUGGACGCCUUGAGUUCACAACAGGCAGGCGGAAUUCGUGGUGUAGCGGUGAAAUGCAUAGAUAUCACGAGGAACCCCGAUUGCGAAGGCAGCCUGCCGGGGUGCGACUGACGCUGAGGCUCGAAGGUGAGGGUAUCAAAAAGGAUUAGAUACCCCUGUAGUC
rnacentral:rRNA from 1 species